rnacentral:misc_RNA from 1 species
UUAACUUAUUUAGCUAAUUGCUCAGACUGCAAUCUUCAGACAGCGUUCAAUGGUGUCUUCGGCGGGCGCGGGCCCGGGGGCGAAUGCCCCCCGGCGGCCGUGAGGCGGGCCCGCCGAAGCAACAAGGUAAAUAAACACGGGUGGGAGGUUGGACCCAGAGGGCCCUCACUCGGUAAUGAUCCUUCCGCAGGUUCACCUACGGAAA